AUUCUUGCGAUUACCCCAAAUGUGGGUAACUCGCCUCGUAUAAUUUCUGGUAGUGGGGACUGCGUUCGCGCUAUCCCCGU
rnacentral:snRNA from 10 species